AGGGUUUGAUCCUGGCUCAGAAUGAACGUUGGCAGCAUGGAUUAGGCAUGCAAGUCGAGCGGAAGUGCUUGCACUUCAGCGGCGAAAGGGUGAGUAAUGCAUAGGUAAUCUGCCGAUACGCUGGGGAUAACGGUUCUAACGGGCCGCUAAUACCGAAUGUGGCUAUAUUGGAGCAUUCCGAAGUAGCUAAAGAGGGGUUUACCUCUCGCGUAUUGAGGAGCCUAUGUCCUAUUAGCUAGUAGGUUAAUUAAGAGUUGACCUAGGCGAUAUGGGUAGCCGGGCUGAGAGGCUGAUCGGCCACACUGGGACUGAGACACUGCCCAGACUCCUACGGGAGGCUGCAGUCGAGAAUCUUCGGCAAUGGGCGAAAGCCUGACCGAGCGAUGCUGCGUGGAUGAUGAAGGUCUUCGGAUUGUAAAAUCCUGUUAGAAGCUAGGAAUUGUGCGGGAAUUAAUAUGUCCUGUAUUUGGCAUAAACUUCAGAGAAAGCCACGGCUAAAUUCGUGCCAGCAGCCGCGGUAAUACGAAUGUGGCAAACGUUAUUCGGAAUCACUGGGCGUAAAGGGCGUGUAGGCGGCGUUAUAAGUCUGAUGUGAAAUCCCUCAGCUCAACUGGGGAACUGCGUUGGAAACUGUAAUGCUCGAGUGUGAUAGGGGGAAGUGGAACUCCAUGUGGAGCGGUGAAAUGCGUAGAUAUGUGGAGGAACGCCGAUGGCGAAAGCAACUUCCUGGGUCAUUACUGACGCUGAGGCGCGAAAGCUAGGGUAGCGAACGGGAUUAGAUACCCCGGUAGUCCUAGCCGUAAACGAUGGGUACUAGAUAGUAGAGGAGUUGGUGCUUUUACUGUCGCAGCAAACGCAUUAAGUAUCCCGCCUGGGGAGUACGACCGCAAGGUUGAAACUCAAAGGAAUUGACGGGGGCUCACACAAGCGGUGGAGCAUGUGGUUCAAUUCGAAACAACGCGAAGAACCUUACCAAGGCUUGACUUAUAAGUAGUACUGAUGAGAAAUCUGAAGGACGUGAGCAAUCAUGAGCUUAUACAGGUGUUGCAUGGCUGUCGUCAGCUCGUGCCGUGAGGUGUAGAGUUAAGUCUCGUAACGAGCGAAACCCUUACCACUAGUUACUACCAGGUGAUGCUGAGGACUCUAGUGGGACUGCCGCGUAAAAGUUGGAGGAAGGUGGGGACGACGUCAAGUCAUCAUGGCCCUUAUGCCUUGGGCUACACACGUGCUACAAUGGUUUGUACAAAGGGAAGCAAAGCAGUGAUGUGGAGCAAAUCCCAGAAAGCAAUCCCUAGUUCGGAUUGAAGGCUGCAAUUCGCCUUCAUGAAGCUGGAAUCGCUAGUAAUCGCGGGUCAGCAAUACCGCGGUGAGUAUGUUCCUGAGCCUUGUACACACCGCCCGUCAAGCCACGGAAGCUUGGAGUACCUGAAGUCGCUGACCCAACCUGAACUGGAGGGAAGCGCCGACGGUAAGCUGAGUGACUGGGACUAAGUCGAAACAAGGUA
rnacentral:rRNA from 1 species